AAAAGUUCGAUCUCUAGAGUUUUGGCUUUGUCCUGAGAGUUUUCACUUUCGGGAACCGGUCCCUGAUAUGAGAGACCGGUCCGCUCAGCUCAGUGUUGCGGCAGCUGGCGAGGCAACCGGUCCCUGGCAGGCAAGACCAGUCCCCGAGCGCGUUUGCGCGGGGAGAGACCGGUCCCGUGCGGGGAGAGACUGGUUCCCGAACGUUGGAUUUUCGGGGCAGGCUGAGAGACCGGUCCCAAGUCGGGGAGACCGGUCCCUCUGGGCGAAAACUGCCCAGACCGGGCUGAUGUGAAAUUGAGUUUUUGAGGGGCUUUUCUGGAUUCUGUUACACUAGAUGGUCUAUAUGGCCCUUUCACCCUCUUCCCUCCUCAUUUCUUCCCUUCACACCCAUUCUAGAGAGAGAA
rnacentral:lncRNA from 1 species